AAAAAACUUCAGGUAUAUAAACGUCUGCAUUUGAGCUGCAAUACUGAAUGCCUAGAAUCCUCCGAGCAACGACAAAGUAACGAUCACUCAAGAUGGACACCAAACAGUUGAUGUGUUUGUUAGUGGCGGCCGUAGCGCUUCUAGCGAUUGCUCCGGUAGCAAACGCCCAAUACUAUGAUUACGGAUAUGGCGGUAACAACUAUGGCUACCCCGGAAACUAUGGCUACGGGGGAAACUAUGGCGGGUAUCCAGGAAAUUAUGGCGACUAUGACAACUAUGGUGGCGGAUGGUUAUACAAAAUCCUCGGAGGGGGUGGAAAAGGCAAAGGCAAAUGGGGUGGUUACGGCGGCUAUGGCAAAUAAUAAAUGUCGUAAAGGAAAACGCAUCUUACUAGACCACACUUGGAUACAUGUAAAGCAACCGUUUCCUUGUAAUUUACGUUCCAAUAAAGUUUUAAACAUCAAUACUUAAACUAAAUCACA